rnacentral:rRNA from 1 species
UACGUAGGGUGCAAGCGUUGUCCGGAAUUAUUGGGCGUAAAGAGCUCGUAGGCGGUCUGUUACGUCGGCUGUGAAAACCCGAGGCUCAACCUCGGGCCUGCAGUGGGUACGGGCAGACUAGAGUGCGGUAGGGGAGAUUGGAAUUCCUGGUGUAGCGGUGGAAUGCGCAGAUAUCAGGAGGAACACCAAUGGCGAAGGCAGAUCUCUGGGCCGUAACUGACGCUGAGGAGCGAAAGCAUGGGGAGCGAACAGG